UUCAUGCAAGCACUAGAAUCCGGCGUAAAGAGAUUGAUGCCAUAGUCUUUAUCAUCUUCAUUUCUUUUAUCCAAGUACAUGGAUGGAACUGUUGGUCCUAUAGUCCUCAAUUUCCAACGUUUAGCCAUCCAAUCCAGAACCUCUUCCUCCAUUUUCUGAAAAGUGUUAUGAAGAACCCAAUCUGCUUCAUCAAUGUUGGUGAACUGAUUCACUAACAGAUUAUAAAAAGCAGCAGGGUAUAAGCUGACAUUAUAUAUAAAAGAUGGUGUCUCUGAAGCUUCCAGCAAUGGCAAUCCAGGAAGUUGAACAACUGGCUCUGAUAAUGGCACUGGAAGGAGACCUCUCUGGACAUGGUAAUAUACGUUGCUGACAGCACAAGAUUGAGUGAAAAA
rnacentral:misc_RNA from 1 species